rnacentral:rRNA from 1 species
CCUACGGGUGGCAGCAGUGGGGAAUAUUGCACAAUGGGGGCAACCCUGAUGCAGCGACGCCGCGUGAGUGAAGAAGUAAUUCGUUAUGUAAAGCCCUAUCAGCAGGGAAGAAAAUGACGGUACCUGAGUCAGAAGCCCCGGCUAACUACGUGACACCAGCCGGGGUAAUACGUAGGGAGCCAGCGUUAUCCGGAUUUACUGGGUGUAAAGGGAGCGUAGACGGCAGUGCAAGUCUGGAGGGAAAGGCGGGGGCUCAACCCCCGGACUGCUCUGGAAACUGUACGGCUGGAGUGCAGGAGAGGUAAGGGGAAUGCCUAGUGUAGCGGUGAAAUGCGUAGAUAUUAGGAGGAACACCAGUGGCGAAGGCGGCUUACGGGACUGUAACUGACGUUGAGGCUCGAAAGCGUGGGGAGCAAACAGGAUUAGAUACCCUUGUAGUC